rnacentral:rRNA from 1 species
AGCGAACGCUGGCGGCAGGCCUAACACAUGCAAGUCGAACGGACCCUUCGGGGUUAGUGGCGGACGGGUGAGUAACACGUGGGAACGUGCCUUUAGGUUCGGAAUAGCUCCUGGAAACGGGUGGUAAUGCCGAAUGUGCCCUUCGGGGAAGGAUUUAUCGCCUUUAGAGCGGCCCGCGUCUGAUUAGCUAGUUGGUGAGGUAACGGCUCACCAAGGCGACGAUCAGUAGCUGGUCUGAGAGGAUGACCAGCCACACUGGGGACUGAGACACGGCCCAG